rnacentral:lncRNA from 1 species
ACUUAACUACUAGAAACAAAGAUUUUCCUUGUAUAGCUAAGCUUUUCUAAAGUUAAUUUGACAAUAUAAAUUGUUUAUACUUAAUAGUCCAAGCAAAUAAACUCACAAACUAAUAACUCUGAUCCAAGCCUGCCUUCCUUAAUAUUCUUGGGGGCACAGUAAUAGUAGACCAGUUCAUCAUGAUGUUUUUUUCCUGCACUGUUACAGUGACAUUCUCUAUUUUGAUGAAAACAGUGCUUUAUUUCUAAUAAGAGGUUUAGAAUUAGCCCAAACAUUGUGGCUACUUUUUUUUUCCUUUUAGUUAUAGAUGGCCACAGUACCUUUAUUUAUUCAUUCAUUUAUCUUUUUGUUUAUUUGUUUACUUUGUGGUGCUAAGGAUCGAACCCAGUGCCUCAUACAUGCUAGGCAAGUGCUAGCCAUAACCCCAGCCCCACACUUUUUGAGUUUCUAAUGAGAGCCAGUGAGUUUCAGUGUCCUAUUUGGUCAUAGUGAUAUUGGAGAAUAGUAGUGUUUCAUAUCCCUGUUGUACAAAUGAAGAAAUGGAAAGGCUAAAGGGGAGCCAAAUAUUUGAGUGCCUGCGUAUCUGACAUCCCUUUCCUAUUUGUUACACUGCAAGUAAAAACAGACUUGGAAGUUGAGACCUUGCUCUCUUAAUUUUCUGACACGUUCUGAGAUCAAUGAAAUCAUAGCAUCAACUAAAAAAAAUCCAUAAUUAAGCCAGAAAAACCCUCUGAAAAACUAAAAUACAAAUCAUGAAGUCUAACCACCACAAACAUCUUUUCUAUAAGAGGACAUCUCAGGUUGUCAUGCAAACCUUGUUAACCAAUUCAAAAUGUUUACAUUAUUAAAGCCAUUUUUGUUAAAUGUUCUGUCAAGACAUUCAUAACUUAAAAGUGGUGCUUCCUCUCCUCAUACUACACUGUUUUCUGAAGUAACUGCCAAAUUUUUUUAUGUGUCCUUGCAAAAGUUUUCUGUGGAUUUUCAUAUCCAUAUGUGUAUACACAA